rnacentral:rRNA from 1 species
UACGUAGGGGACAAGCGUUAUCCGGAUUUACUGGGUGUAAAGGGGGCGCAGACGGCGAUGCAAGCCAGGAGUGAAAGCCCGGGGCCCAACCCCGGGACUGCUCUUGGAACUGCGUGGCUGGAGUGCAGGAGGGGCAGGCGGAAUUCCUGGUGUAGCGGUGAAAUGCGUAGAUAUCAGGAGGAACACCGGUGGCGAAGGCGGCCUGCUGGACUGCAACUGACGUUGAGGCCCGAAAGCGUGGGGAGCAAACAGG